CCUGGAGUAGAGAAGUGCAUCUCCAACCAGUUCAGCUUCAACACAAACCAUGUUCUCUGAAACUCUGAUGCUGCUGCUGGCAGCUGCAUCCUGUGUUCACUGUGAAGAACUCACUCAGCCAGCCUCUAUGACUGUCCAGCCAGGUCAAUCACUGACCAUCUCCUGUAAGGUCUCAUAUUCUGUUACUAGCUAUUGGACAGCUUGGAUCCGACAGCCUGCAGGGAAAACACUGGAGUGGAUUGGGCAAAUAUAUACUGGAAACACAAUCUACAAGGAUUCACUGAAAAACAAGUUCAGCCUCACUUUAGACUCCUCUAACAAGAUAGUGACUCUAACAGGGCAGAACCUGCAGACUGAAGACACAGCUGUGUAUUAUUGUUCCCGAGACUCACAGUGA